rnacentral:lncRNA from 1 species
GGUCGUGGUGGUGGUCGUGGUGGUGGUGGCGAAUGGAAGAGAAUAUGUGCUUGAGGCUCGCAGGCCCAGGCUUCGUUUCCAACCAGGCUGCCUCUUCGGCGCUGUCGUACCUUGGCUUCGAACACACCCGAGCUGAAGCGCUGCUUGUGAGUACGUGUGUGAUGGGCCAGGUUCGGUGGCUGGCCAAGUCCACGCAGCAGAAAUGUGCUUCGAUGGCUUCGGAACAAAUGUCUUCCAGAACUCAGAUAUUUGACAACUAUCCCAGUGUUUCAUUGUUGUGUGUACUUCAACAUGUUCCAUUAGCGGCACAGCCAUAA